rnacentral:lncRNA from 1 species
UAUAUGAGGAUUUGUGCAGAUAUAUAUUUAAUUCCAUAUCGGUUAUUUGCCGAAAAGAUUUUGGAUGCUUAUACAAGACUAAAGAACUCAAAUAAUAUCUUUCAACUAGUUUUUAGGAAAAGAUCAUGAGUUUUUAUAUUUAUAAAAUAAAAUUGUUUGCUCUCCAUAUAAAUCGAGAAGUUUGCUCUUGUUUGGUAGAAUGUAAUUCCUUCUUGUUAUGACAUGUUUCCUUUCUACGCCCUUCCCUCCUUGUUUCUCUUUAAAAAAAUGUUGAUGUCAUGACAAAGGAGUUUGCAUAUCUUGCUUAGUCGCUGCCAUGUUGUUCCUUUUUAAAAGAAUAAGGUAGUAAACAUACUUCUUGUUUGUGGGCGAAUAAAAAAAGAAAAUACUAGGAGCCAAUUUGCAUAGGGAUACUUUAGACUGGAAAAAUAAAUUUUAUAUUAGAUUGUGUUGGGGGAAAAAUGGAUCGUUCAAAGCACAUGGUCAAGUCGCCGAUACUUGAUGACGAACGUGACGACAGCAAGCAUACUCUUAGCAGUCACGACCUCAGAGCGCUCAGUCUCGGCAUCGACGACCCCAGAGCUCACGAUCUCGACCUCGGCAUGACCUUGGCAGGCAUGGUCUCCGUUGAGAUAAGCCCGAUCGAUCUCGAAGCCAAGAAAGACCCAGUCAAAGGGAGAAGCAAACCUCCCCACUCCACUGAAAAUCAAGUCCUCCAUAUUCGGGAUCAAAUUUCGCAAUCUCCGCCUCAACAGCUGUCAACAUUUGAAUCCACACGAUCUUAACGGAUCACCAGCUAUCCCGAAAUCUCGGGCCGUUUACGAUAACUCAUUGAUUUGCGCAAUCACGCCCGAUCACAGGUAACUGCUGCACCCCCUCCUAUAAAAAGGGGGUGAGAAACUCCAGGCGGGGGAUCUCUCUCCUCUUCCUCUCCGUGGCCAAAACACAUCACUACAUCAUUACUCUCCCCUCCAUUAUUCUCUCUCCAUUAAAAAUUCCUCUUUGACUUAAGCAUUGGAGGGCCUACGCCGGAACCUCCGGCCAC